rnacentral:tRNA from 1 species
GCGGGCGUAGCUCAGGGGUAGAGCACGACCUUGCCAAGGUCGGGGUCGAGGGUUCGAAUCCCUCCGCCCGCUCCA